rnacentral:misc_RNA from 1 species
GAACGCACCUUGCGCUCUCUGGUAUUCCGGGGAGCAUGCUCGUUUCAGAAUCAACAAACAUCUCAAAGUGGCCGUCGGGGUCUUGGCCCCGAUGGAGCUGCGGAGUUUGGACCUUGUUUUAUGGAGUCACAGCGGCUGCAAGAGCAGUAUCGCUGCCGUGAAACUGGUCUGAAAUUGAUUGUGUACGCAUCAUGACUGGCUCAUAGGAUUGCUCAAGUGCAACAGUAUGUUUACAUUCUAUUUCACUUGAGCUCUUUACUUACGUUUGGCUGGAGUGAUGUGUACAACCACCAACUUUACAAGCAUGGGGAGGAAGCCUCCUAGUGCUUGCUGACUUGGUCUGAAAUCGAGCAAGAAAACCCGCUGAACUUAAG